rnacentral:rRNA from 1 species
UACGGGGGGGCAAGCGUUGUUCGGAAUUACUGGGCGUAAAGGGCUCGUAGGCGGCCAACUAAGUCAGACGUGAAAUCCCCAGGCUCAACCUGGGAACUGCGUCCGAAACUGGCAGGCUUGAAUCCGGGAGAGGGAUGUGGAAUUCCAGGUGUAGCGGUGAAAUGCGUAGAUAUCUGGAGGAACAUCGGUGGCGAAGGCGACAUCCUGGACCGGUAUUGACGCUGAGGCGCGAAAGCCAGGGGAGCAAACGGG